AGAGAGAGACAUGCGCGCAUAUCAAUAAGCGGAGGAAAAGAAACUAACAAGGAUUCCCUUAGUAACGGCGAGUGAAGCGGGAAGAGCUCAAAUUUGAAAUCUUCAAGGUUUUACCUUGACGAAUUGUAGUUUAAAGAAGUGUUUUCCUGCUGAAGUUUUGGUAAAAGUUCUUUGGAAUAGGACAUCAUAGAGGGUGAGAAUCCCGUAUUUGACCAUUAUUUUCAGCUUUGUGAUACACUUUCAAAGAGUCGGAUUGUUUGGGAAUGCAGUCCAAAAUGGGUGGUAAAUUUCAUCUAAAGCUAAAUAUUGGCGAGAGACCGAUAGCGAACAAGUACCGUGAGGGAAAGAUGAAAAGAACUUUGAAAAGAGAGUUAAACAGUACGUGAAAUUGUCAAAAGGGAAGCGUUUGACACCAGUGUUGUUUUCUCGAAAAUCAAUUAAAAAUGGCUCGAUUUUGUAUUGUUGAGACCUUAAAAGCUCACUGUACAUUUUUCGUGUCUUUUUUAAUGCACUUUUCGUUUAACAAGUCAACAUCAGUUUCUUUUGUUGUAAAAGGGUCAUUGGAAGGUGGCUUUCUUUUCGGAGAAAGUGUUUAUAGCCUUUGGCCUCUGCAAUCGAAGAGACUGAGGUCUGCAGCGUAGACUCUUCGGGGUUAGAUACAUUUGUGCUAAGUUAUAGCUUUUUAUAGACAACUUGUUGACUAUAAUUAGUCUUGUAGCUUACUCGCUUAUGCUAUUUUACCUACGCUUAGGAUGUUGAGUCGUAGAGCACGCAG
rnacentral:rRNA from 1 species